rnacentral:rRNA from 1 species
GAUCCUGGCUCAGGACGAACGCUGGCGGCGCGCCUAACACAUGCAAGUCGAACGGAGCUUACGUUUUGAAGUUUUCGGAUGGAUGAAUGUAAGCUUAGUGGCGGACGGGUGAGUAACACGUGAGCAACCUGCCUUUCAGAGGGGGAUAACAGCCGGAAACGGCUGCUAAUACCGCAUGAUGUUGCGGGGGCACAUGCCCCUGCAACCAAAGGAGCAAUCCGCUGAAAGAUGGGCUCGCG